rnacentral:piRNA from 1 species
UGACAGCAUAUCCUCACAGCUCCCCAGU